rnacentral:lncRNA from 1 species
CGCCCUCGGCUCUUACUCAGCGCCGGGAGCCAGCGGCGGCAGCAGUGGCUGAGGCGGCUGCGGGAGCCGAGCGGUCGCCGGGCGCGCGGGGUUGGGGAGGGGGGGCGGACGCCGGCUGCACUUCGGGGCAGGCGCUCUGCAGCGAGACAGUAAAUGCAUCCCCCGCGUGCUGCUGCAUGGUAACAUCUGGACUUGUUUCCUGACCCCUCAGCUGCUCAGCUGCUUACAAGUUCCCAGAUCUACUUGUCGAAAACCGUGAGUAAUCUCCAUGUUUCUACUUUGCAAGCAACUGUAGACCUGUGGGAUCUUGAGGUUGGAG